CCUGGCUCAGGAUGAACGCUGGCGGCGUGCUUAACACAUGCAAGUCGAACGAAGCAGAUGAGAAAGCUUGCUUUUUUAUUUCGCUUAGUGGCGGACGGGUGAGUAACGCGUGAGUAACCUGCCCUUCAGUGGGGAAUAACAUCGAGAAAUCGGUGCUAAUACCGCAUAACGUAUUUAUGUCGCAUGACAUUUAUACCAAAGGAUUUAUUCGCUGAAGGAUGGACUCGCGUCCGAUUAGAUAGUUGGUGAGAUAAUGGCCCACCAAGUCAACGAUCGGUAGCCGAACUGAGAGGUUGAUCGGCCACAUUGGGACUGAGACACGGCCCAGACUCCUACGGGAGGCAGCAGUGGGGAAUAUUGGGCAAUGGGCGAAAGCCUGACCCAGCAACGCCGCGUGAAGGAUGAAGGUCUUCGGAUUGUAAACUUCUUUGAUUAGGGAAGAAUUUUGACUACCUAAAGAACAAGUCACGGCUAACUACGUGCCAGCAGCCGCGGUAAUACGUAGGUGACAAGCGUUACG
rnacentral:rRNA from 1 species